CCUACGGGAGGCAGCAGUAGGGAAUCUUCCGCAAUGGACGAAAGUCUGACGGAGCAACGCCGCGUGAGCGAUGAAGGCCUUCGGGAUCGUAAAGCUCUGUUGUUAGGGAAGAACAAGUAUCGGAGUAACUGCCGGUACCUUGACGGUACCUAACCAGAAAGCCACGGCUAACUACGUGCCAGCAGCCGCGGUAAUACGUAGGUGGCAAGCGUUGUCCGGAAUUAUUGGGCGUAAAGCGCGCGCAGGCGGUCCUUUAAGUCUGAUGUGAAAGCCCACGGCUCAACCGUGGAGGGUCAUUGGAAACUGGGGGACUUGAGUACAGAAGAGGAAAGCGGAAUUCCACGUGUAGCGGUGAAAUGCGUAGAGAUGUGGAGGAACACCAGUGGCGAAGGCGGCUUUCUGGUCUGUAACUGACGCUGAGGCGCGAAAGCGUGGGGAGCAACAGGAUUAGAUACCCUGGUAGUCCACGCCGUAAACGAUGAGUGCUAAGUGUUAGAGGGUUUCCGCCCUUUAGUGCUGCAGCUAACGCAUUAAGCACUCCGCCUGGGGAGUACGGCCGCAAGGCUGAAACUCAAAGGAAUUGACGGGGGCCCGCACAAGCGGUGGAGCAUGUGGUUUAAUUCGAAGCAACGCGAAGAACCUUAC
rnacentral:rRNA from 1 species